rnacentral:rRNA from 1 species
AUUGAACGCUGGCGGCGUGCCUAACACAUGCAAGUCGAGCGGUAACAGGUGUAGCAAUACAUGCUGACGAGCGGCGAACGGGUGAGUAAUGCUUCGGAAUCUGCCCAUGUAGUGGGGAAUAACCAGCCAAAAGGUUGGCUAAUACCGCAUACGACCUACGGGUGAAAGCAGGGGAUCGCAAGACCUUGCGCUAUUGGAUGAGCCGAAGUCGGAUUAGCAGUUGGUAGGGUAACGGCCUACCAAGGCGACGAUCCGUAGCUGGUCUGAGAGGACGACCAGCCACACUGGGACUGAGACACGGCCCAGACUCCUACGGAGGCAGCAGUGGGGAAUAUUGGACAAUGGGGCAACCCUGAUCCAGCGACGCCGCGUGUGUGAAGAAGGCCUGCGGGUUGUAAAGCACUUUUAGU